AGUGUAAGAUUCAUAUUUUGGGUAGUUUUAAGGACUACGCGUAGCAAGUAAAAUGGAAAAAUUUUCCAGAAGUUUUAAUGGCUUAAAACUUAGCAUGAGGGGAGGUCCACGAGUUUUCUGGUGCAGCAACUGGGUAAGAUGAUGUUGGCUUCUAGAGUUAGGGUUGGGAUAAAUAUGGAUUGUAGGGUUUUAAUAAAUGACAUGAUGAGAGAGUGUUAGUCAAGGAUGAAAGGUAAGUGAAUAGAACCCGAAGAACAGUUUUUUUUCAUUCUUUGUGCAUUUAAAUACGUAAGUGAUGAUCCAUCUUCCUGCGUUCUCAAAAUAGGAUUUGUAAAGGGUGUCGGAGUGGGAACCCAGCUUCGAUGGGCUUGAAUUUGCAUCCACCGGGACAUUUGUGGUGUGCUUUCAACCGGGUAGCACAUCAUAAAAAAGGUGCGAUAUGCUUUUUGUGACUUUGCUCACAAGAUAAAAUGAUAGACCCGAAUACUAGUUCCGAGAAUGUACCUUUAAGUAUGUACCUUAUGUCAAACAUGCAAGUUUUUCUAGAUUUUCAUCAUGGACUUCAAGCAUUCCAUGCUUUUAGAUGUCUUGCUGAAUCUGAAACUUGUUAUGAAGUGUACAAACCACCAAUGAAUGAAUAAGGUAUGGAGGAGCUUCACAAAGUGACGAACACAGUUUCCUUUCACUGUAUAAUUUGUUGGCAGCAGUCCUUCGUGGUUUACCCUUGCUCCAAACGCUUAAUAUGCUUGGAAGAACAUUCAAUGGUGGGGCAGUAGAUUUCCUUGAAAACAAGAUUUGGUAGUUAUAUCUCGUAUCAUUAUCUAGAACUAGGCCGUCUAAGGAUCAUGUUACAUGUACAUGUCGAUUAGUAUCUUGACUUCUUUUCUUGGUUUCAUGUGGAUAAUCAGAAAAUAUUCUUUUGUUUUAGGUAGCGUUAUAGAGCUCAGAUUGUUUCUCAUUCCAUUAAAAGAUUGCUUCAUUGGAUGUGGAGGCUUGUCUUCAAAUUUCUUCACGGUUUUCGGUUGGCUGCCUCUAGCAGUACACUAUCCAUUUUUCGUGUUCUUAAAUUGGCUGCCUCCAGCAGAUUGGUUGAUUCUUGGAUUUUCAUGGAAUAUAUUGUAAAAUGAAAAGAGAGAACCAGUUUAAAUUUAUAAAGAUGUUGCUUCUCCACA